GAACGCCGUGUGCGAUGAAAGUCGCUCGCACGGUGUGGGCUCGAACGAAACCCUUAGCAGAAUGGGAUAAGUCGAGAAUAGCAAU
rnacentral:misc_RNA from 1 species